GGGGCGGGGGCGGUGAGGCGGGAGCCGGGAGCCGGGGCUGAAGCGCGGGGCUGGAAGCCGCCCGGGACGUUCGGAGAGCGAGCGGCUCACUCCUCUCUGCGCUGCGUGUAGUCGCUCACCUCACGUCAGUUUGUGUCCCGCUGUGACAGGACUAAAUGCUUUUCUGAAAAGAUUCUUAGCGGUGACGGAGUUAAAGAAGCAACAAGAGAACAUGAACAACCAACUUCAGUCUGUUAUUACUUACUCCAGCUAUCUUCAGUGCAUAAGGAAGCAUAGAGCAAUAGCAGGAGAUGAAAACAAUUCAAAGACUUGCCCUCAACCAAAAAAUUUGGGUAUUCCUCAGUGCUUAUAAAUCCUUAAAGAAGAAUUUGGCUGAUGGGGAUUGGUGAGAAGAACAGGCACAUAUGAUCGGAAGAAGGAUGAUUCUGUGAAACUGAAGGCAUUUGUCAAGGACUGCGACUUGCUGCAAGACAAAAAUGCAACAUGUUUGGUAUGGUCAUAUUGUCUAUCAACUUCCAUCCACAUAUAACUUGUAUAAAUUAGCAGAAAAGGAAGAAUGGCUGUGAGAUACAGACAAUUUCCAUUUGAGCAAAAUGAAUGUUCAACACAAGUAAUAUGGUUAGAUAUAGCAUACAGAGUUGCUGCAAUAAAGCAUCUUCCUUCUGUACUUUGAUUUGACAAGUAGGGCAAUCUUUUAUUUAGAGAACACACUGCUUUUUUACAUACCUGAAACAUUAUGUCUAAGUAAACUGGAUGACAUAAAUUAGAAUUUAAGGCGAAUCUGAGCCUGCCUACUAAAUCCAACUCACUACUCAACAAAGCAUGAUGGGAGCUCAAAGAAUGAGACCUAAAGUUGUAAUGUGUUCCACUGCUGCGUGUUAGAUAAUGUUCAAACUUAAUGGCGGUUUAAUGACAAUUUUCCUCUUUGAAAAAAUUCCCAAAUCAGGUAUCACUUUGCUUCUCUGUCAGCAGUUAGUCUAGCAAUCCUAUUCUGUUUUUAGUGCUAUCAUGUACACAUGGUUUAAGUUUCUGCAAGCAUGAAUAAAAUAACGUACAAGAAAGAAAAUGUCUGAAGUUUAAAACUAACUCAAGUAAAAUAACACCUAAAAGGUAAGUUUGAAUUUAAAUAUAAACCAAUGAUGAGUUAUAAUCUUUUUUUGAAAAUAUCCAUGCAAUAAUAUAUUAAUCAAUUUCGUUUUUCUCUCAGUACAAUAAUAGGAUUUCAGUUUUGGCUAUAGUUAAUCACUCUCCUUAUUCAAGUUGUUUUAUACUCCCCAUGGUUUGCAACUUUUCUAUGUCUGUACAGCAAACAGUGCUACAGGCGUUUUAGGUUUUUUGUAAAUUAUAGUUGUGUUAAUGAGAAUAGACUGAUAAAUGUUUGUUUGUACUCACUAAAAGAGGGAGGGUGGGAAGCAGCACUUGACUUGAUUAGUAACACAAUAAGUGGCCUAAUUAAAUAUUUAUUCACAGAUUAAUAACAUGUACAUACAGGUUAGGCAACAGCAUGUGGGUGAAUACAAAGUAUGCACAUGCAAAUAGAGUUAAUCCUACAGGCAGGAGAUCUGAGUCUUGGUGCAGACCUAAAAGUUCUUGAAAGUUAGAAAAACUACACCAAUAUAGUUUGCAUCUUAAAAAUUGAAUUCAUUCUGUUUUCUUUCAUAUAGAGACUACUUUUCCAUUUGAGGAAAAAGAGAAAGCUGGAAAAAUGUAUGUGGUACAGUUUUUUUCAUAUCAGAAAUGAACAAAUUAAGUUUCAAACUAGUUUAGGGUCUUUCAUCUUGCUUAAGAAAAUGGAGCUGUCUAUUCUCUAGAUAAAUAAUAGAUGAAUAAAUUGGAAUUUUAUGUUUAUAAAACAAAAUAAAGAACUAUACUGUCCCAGGAAUGCAAGAAAACACUUUCUUCAGAAGCAAAUAUGCUUAAGCUUUUUUGUCUAUUGUUUUAAUCUGUGCAUCCUCUCAUCUAACAAGGCUGUUUGGCUGAACUGUGUUCAGGCGAGGACUCAGAAUUGCUUCACACCAGUACAAGCAUGUGAGUUGGUGGAAAGGGGGAAUCUGCACUACUGAAAAAAAAUGAUGGCUUUUUACUCAUCAACCUAACUGCAAUGUUAUCUGCGACUCUACUGGCAGUAGAGUCAGGAUCAAUACGUUGAAAAACAGCAAAUCAUUGCUAAUACCCUCUCCAUGUUUUCCAUUCACUGAUUUAAAGCUCUAUGAGAAUGCAUGGCUACAGAUCCCAUUCACAUUCCUUACUGCAGUGUGUAGCUGGCUAUAUAGAGCAACAGCCUCAUGCUGUGCAGGAGGGAACCUUCCAGCAGUGAGGUAGCUACAGGCAGGUGUCUGUGCGAGUCCUGCUGACAUCUCCAGAAAGAGUCUGAGUGACUUGUGCUGCACAGACAGUAGCAAUGUGCACCAUGACCAGAGCGUUACUGUAAACACAGUUUGACGGCUUGUUCAUUAGGCUGUUUCUGAGAUAGGCCUUUUGAAACUGAAAUCUGUUCUUUUGAGUGACUGCAAGGUUAAAAGUUGAAGCAGAUAAGACUUCCUCUUCUCUGUGCAGGCGAAUAGCACACCCAGAUCAUGAGUCAGUGACAUAAGAAGGAAGGGAAAGAAAUGAGAACGAUCAAGAGUUUUCACAUCAGAUCUAGUGGGGGCAUAAGUUGCACAACUAAUGAAAUCUUGUAUAGCACAGGAUGUAACUAAUGCUACUCUAAUGAUAAACCGAUAAUAAGCUUUUUGAAACCUCAAUUUAGACUGGGAAACGUAUGUACAUCUUUAUAAGAAGGUCAGACCGGCUCUCAAAUUACAGUUUCAACAACAAAAUGUAACUAUUCUGAGACCAGAAAACUGAUAAAGCAAA